CAUGUAACGCCAUGGGGGUAGGAAGCCUGGAACUAUUCUCCGUGCCUUAUGAGCCAGAGGUGGCGGAUGACUACAAGGAGGCAGUGUCUUCUGGACAUACACAGAGGAGGGCAGCAUUCACAAGGCCUGUGUGAGCUUAAGCCAGUGAAAACAAAGUGGCUUCCUGGAAUGGAUUGUUUCUCCCUGAGCAAAGGCUGUUGGACCCAGAUGAGUGGGCAAAGGGUGGAGCAGCUGCGUCCUUCAGUGUCACUUGGCACACUUUUCAGAACCGAACGAUCACUUCUGACGUCCUACCAAUUGUCUUUGGAGGGUGACUUGGGAUUCACUGACACAUCGCCUUAUUAAAGAUGUCAUCGUAAGCUCAUGGUA